ensembl:snoRNA SNORA70 Small nucleolar RNA SNORA70
UUGCAGCCAAUUAAGCCCACCAUGCACUUCUCCCCAUGGAGCCCACUGUGCCAUGGCUGCAGAUAGCAGCCUCCUCGGUCGUGUGUGCAGCCUGGUUCUUGUAUGGGUUUCCCUAAGAGACCUUGGAGCUGGGC